UGGCGGACGGGUGAGUAAUGUCUGGGAAACUGCCUGAUGGAGGGGGAUAACUACUGAAAACGGUAGCUAAUACCGCAUAACGUCGCAGGACCAAAGAGGGGGACCUUCGGGCCUCUUGCCAUCGGAUGUGCCCAGAUGGGAUUAGCUAGUAGGUGGGGUAACGGCUCACCUAGGCGACGAUCCCUAGCUGGUCUGAGAGGAUGACCAGCCACACUGGAACUGAGACACGGUCCAG
rnacentral:rRNA from 1 species